UACAGAGGGUGCAAACGUUGCUCGGAAUUAUUGGGCGUAAAGCGCGCGUAGGUGGUCUGAUAAGUCGGGUGUGAAAGCCCUCGCUUAACCGAGGAAGUGCGCCCGAAACUGCAUGGCUUGAGUACCGGAGAGGAUGGCGGAAUUCCCCAAGUAGAGGUGAAAUUCGUAGAUAUGGGGAGGAACACCGGUGGCGAAGGCGGCCAUCUGGACGGAUACUGACGCUGAGACGCGAAAGCGUGGGAAGCAAACAGG
rnacentral:rRNA from 1 species